CCCUUAGAUGUUCUGGGCAGCACGCGCGCUACAAUGGUCUUCGCAAACGGAUGCAUUCUCGAAGGAGAAUGCCAAUCUUGGAAUCUAUGCCUUGGUCGGGACAGUUGCUUGCAAUUUUUCGACUCGAACCAGGAAUUCCUUUUAAUCGUGAUUCAUCACAUCACGAUGAAUACGUCCCUGCCCUUUGUACACACCGCCCGUCGCUCCUACCGAUCGAAGAGUUAGGUGAAUUGUUUUGAUCGAUAAGAUUUGACUAUGGUCAACUCUCGUUGUGAAAUUCUGUGAAUCUGACUGUUUAGAGGAAGGAAAAGUCGUAACA
rnacentral:rRNA from 1 species